CAUACUUCAAUAAACUCUGGCUAACCUUCUGAUCUACCCUGUACCUGCACAUCUGGGGUUAGGGGAGAGGGGUGAGCUACAAAGCCCAGUGAGCAGAAUAGUAUAAAACAUUAUAUUAAAAUUUUAUGCUUUCAUGGAAUGCAACACAUCACAACAAAUCACAUCUCGGAUGGUAUUGUCACCUAUAGUCCUCUACAUAGGUCCAACUGUGCCGGGACGUAGAAUGGGUCAACCGGUCUUUCCCUUAUCAUAAUAUAUCAUAUGGACCAACUGUGCCAGGGACGUAGAAUGGGUACAACCUGGACUUUCUCUUACAUCGUGCCAGGGACGUAGAAUGGGUACAACCUGGACUUCCAUACCAUAACAUGCCGUAACAUCAAUCAUAUCAUAGGAGGACUAAAGGAUCAUCCAAUAACCAAUCCACAUCAACAUUAACAUCAUAAUGCAAUGCAACAUAUUCGUGAAUACUAAUGCAAGCAACCUAUUAUAUCUCAUGGCAUUCAUGAUGCAUGGAUCAUGCUCAAAAUUCAUAUUUUCAUUUAUUUAAAACUUAAGGUUUAUUCCACUCACCUCUGGCUAGCUCUGACAAACUCUGUAGCAGCUGGCUCACUGCUGGGGUCCUCGGUUCCUCGGGUCCGAACCUACACAGGUGGACUCCAAUGAGGGACCAAACAUACAUAAACAUAACUCUAAUAUAUUCCCCAAAAAACCCCCUAAAACAUCAUGAAAUAAUCACAUAACAACAUGCAAGAAAUGGCUGGACAGGGCACUUUCGGCGGCACCUUCGGCGGCCGAAAGUCCCUCCAGAGCCGAAAGUCAGGCAGGUUCGGCGGCACCUUCGGCGGCCGAAACUCCCAGACAGAGACGAAACUCAUGCAUGUUCGGCGGCACCUUCGGCGGCCGAAAGUCCCAGACAGAGACGAAAGUCUCCCUUCGGGGGCAACUUCGGCAGCCGAAAGGCCUGCCUCACCAGCCAUGUUCGGCGGCCGAAAGUGCCUUCGGCUGCCGAACCUGGUUUCUGCCGAAGGGCAGAAACUUGGCUCCCAAAUGCAUUUUCGCCUCCAAACUCACCAAUCAUGCAUAUACCUCAGUUAAAUCAUGCAUACAAGUUCCUAGGGGCCUCAAAACAUCAAAUACCCCAACUACAACACUUCAAACACACAAAAACAACAUACAUUGUCCAAGACAUCAAGAUUAACCCAUAACUCCACAUAUAACCUAACAUGCAUUUCUACUCUUCGAUCUAGCAUAAAACUUAUUGAAAACACAUAAGGAGCUUAAGAUCGGCUCUUACCUCUUGAAGAUCGAGAGAGAGACGACCUAAACUUGGAGAUCCAAGAAGAUGAGCUCCUGAGUUCCCAAAGCUCCAAAACUUGUUUCAAAAGUUCAAAACCUUCAAUGCAAGCUUAAAACUCAAGAGAGAUGGUGGGGAUUUGGAGGAAGAACACUAGGUUUGCAAAGGGAAAGUCGGAAGCUUGCUG
rnacentral:lncRNA from 1 species